AGAGUUUGAUCAUGGCUCAGGAUAAACGCUGGCGGCGUGCCUAACACAUGCAAGUCGAACGCCCUUGGGAAACCGAGGGAGUGGCGGACGGGUGAGGAACACGUGGGUUAUCUACCAGUAGGUGAGGAAUACCGGCGAGAAAUCGCCGACAAGACCGCAUACGCUUGGAGCAAUCCAAGCAAAGUCGCAAGACGCCUGCU
rnacentral:rRNA from 1 species